rnacentral:rRNA from 1 species
GACGAACGCUGGCGGCGUGCUUAACACAUGCAAGUCGAACGCUGAAACUUGGAGCUUGCUCUGCGUGGAUGAGUGGCGAACGGGUGAGUAAUACGUGAAUAACCUGCCCUUGACACUGGGAUAAGCCUGGGAAACUGGAUCUAAUACUGGAUACUACAUGUCACCGCAUGGUGGUGUGUGGAAAGAGGUUUUACUGUGUUUUGGAUGGACUCACUCGCCUAUCAACUUGUUGGUGGGGUAAUGGCUCACCUUAGCGACCACCGGUACCCAGCCUAACAGGGUGACCGGUCACACUGGGACUGACACACAGCCCAUACUCAUACCGGAGGCAGCAAUGGGGAAUAUUGCUCUCUGGGUGGAAGCCUGAUGCGACGACCCCCCCUGAGGGAUGACAGACUUCCUUCUGUAAACCUCUUUCUGCACUGAAGAAACAAAAGUGACGGUACGUGCUAAACACGCGCCGGCUAACUACAUGCCAACAGCCGCGGUAAUACUAUAUGGCGCAAGCCUUGUCCGGACUUAUUGUGGCGUAAAGAGCUCGUAAGCUGUUUGUCGCGUCUGCUGCUGUAAGCCCGUGUCUUAUCCCCAUGUGUGCACCGCGUACUGGCAGACUUUGAUUGCAAUAAGGGAGACUGAAUUUCCUGUGGUACCGGUGAAUUGCCCAAAUUUCAGGAGAACCCCCGAUGGCAAAGGCACGUCUCUGGCCUGUUACUGACCCUAAGGACCGAAACCAUGGGGAGCGAACAGGAUUAAAUCCCCUGGUAGCCCCUGCCGUAAACAUUAGUGACUAGGUGUGGGGAACAUUCCCCCCUUUCCGCUCCGUAUCUCACGCAUUACAUGCCCCCCCUGGAGAGUCCAGCCGUAGUGCUAACUCUCAGAGGAAUUGACGGACGCCCGCACACGCGGGAGACCGUGCGUUAUUAUUUCAAUGCCACGCGAAGAACCUUACCAUCGCUUGACUUUCCCACCACUCUGCCAAAAAUGGUCUUUCCUCCUUGUGACGCUGGUGUACAGGUGGCGCAUGGUUGCCCUCCUCUCGUGCCGAGAUAUGUUGGUUUAAUUCCCGCAACGAGCGCAACCCUCGUUCUAUGUUGCCAGCAUCGUGAUGGUGGGGCCUCAUAGGAGGCUGCCGGGGUCCACUCGGAGGAAGGUGGGGAAGACGUCAAAUCAUCAUGCCCCUUAUGUAUUGGGCUUCCCGCAUGGUACCAUGGCCCGCACAAUGGGUCGGGAUGCCGCGAGGUGGAGGUAAUCCCAAAAAGCUGGUUUCAGUUUGGAUCGUGGUUUGCCACUUGGCCACGAGAAGUCGGAGUCGGUAGUUAUUGCAGAUCAGCCACGCUGCGGUGAAUACGAUCCCGGGCCU